AGUGAACGCUGGCGGUAGGCCUAACACAUGCAAGCCGAACGGCAGCACAGUAAGAGCUUGCUCUUACGGGUGGCGAGUGGCGGACGGGUGAGGAAUACAUCGGAAUCUACUUUUUCGUGGGGGAUAACGUAGGGAAACUUACGCUAAUACCGCAUACGACCUACGGGUGAAAGCAGGGGAUCUUCGGACCUUGCGCGAUUGAAUGAGCCGAUGUCGGAUUAGCUAGUUGGCGGGGUAAAGGCCCAUCAAGGCGACGAUCCGUAGCUGGUCUGAGAGGAUGAUCAGCCACACUGGAACUGAGACACGGUCCAGACUCCUACGGGAGGCAGCAGUGGGGAAUAUUGGACAAUGGGCGCAAGCCUGAUCCAGCCAUACCGCGUGGGUGAAGAAGGCCUUCGGGUUGUAAAGCCCUUUUGUUGGGAAAGAAAAGCAGCAGGUUAAUACCCCGCUGUUCUGACGGUACCCAAAGAAUAAGCACCGGCUAACUUCGUG
rnacentral:rRNA from 1 species